AGCAUACUGACCCCCUGUGUAACUUGGGAUAAAUCACGCUGCUCCCCGGGCCUCAGUUUCCAAACCUGUGCAAUGGGGAUAGUGAGCCUCAUGCAGGAGAGAGAUUUAAAAAAUGGCGGCAUGAUCCUCAAAUGUGCUUCACCUCCCGGUCCUCAGGAAGCCAGAUGCCCCCAGAAGGUUGGAGGCCAGGGUAACCCAGCUUGCCCUCUUUCCAGGGUCCUCCCAAAGAGGACUCAGAAUGAGCUCUGCUCUCCCCUGGAGAGGACUCUAAUUCUUCAACAAUAGUGAGUUGUGCAAGAGUUUUGCUGUGGGUUAUUGAGACAAGCUCGAGACAGAGCCCUGGGCUCUACACCCUGCCCACCAUGUUGGCCCAUCUCUGGGGGUUUUGGCCCAUUGACUGCUCGAGGUGCAGAUAAGAGGCAAGCAGUUAGGAAGGGACCACCGAGGGGCCCUGUACAACUAGUGUAUGGAGGGCAGGUGCUGGGGCAGACCGGCUGGCAAGAAGACCAAAGGAAAGGCUAGGCCUGCCACCUGGUCUCCUGCCCCUUCAGCCUGCUUUCUGCUGCCCACCCUGCUACAGGACCCUGCCCCUAUGCUCCAGCCACCUCGAGCCUCCGCGGACAACCCCCACCCUAACCCUCCGCCUCAUCUGUUUCCAGGCCUCUGCUGAUUCUGUGGGAAGGCUCCCUCGGGGAGCCCUAGCACUGAGCACCCAGGAGCUUGUUGAGAGCAGUACAGAGAGGAUGCUUGUCAUUGGAACCCAGCUGCCAUGUUGUGAGGAAGACCCAGCCACAUGGAGAGACCAGUCAACAGCCCCAUCGAGGUACCCAUUAGACACCAACGUCAACAGCCAGACGCGUUUUCCUUCCUCUUUCCGGUACCUCCCAUCUGGUGUUGGUGUGAGAAGGAAGAAAGAGCAAAACG